CUAGAUUGAUGGCGAGUGGCGAACGGGUGAGUAAUACAUCGGAACGUGCCCUGUAGUGGGGGAUAACUAGUCGAAAGAUUAGCUAAUACCGCAUACGACCUGAGGGUGAAAGUGGGGGACCGCAAGGCCUCAUGCUAUAGGAGCGGCCGAUGUCUGAUUAGCUAGUUGGUGGGGUAAAGGCCCACCAAGGCGACGAUCAGUAGCUGGUCUGAGAGGACGAUCAGCCACACUGGGACUGAGACACGGCCCAGACUCCUACGGGAGGCAGCAGUGGGGAAUUUUGGACAAUGGGCGAAAGCCUGAUCCAGCAAUGCCGCGUGUGUGAAGAAGGCCUUCGGGUUGUAAAGCACUUUUGUCCGGAAAGAAAUGGCUCUGGUUAAUACCUGGGGUCGAUGACGGUACCGGAAGAAUAAGGACCGGCUAACUACGUGCCAGCAGCCGCGGUAAUACGUAGGGUCCAAGCGUUAAUCGGAAUUACUGGGCGUAAAGCGUGCGCAGGCGGUUGUGCAAGACCGAUGUGAAAUCCCCGAGCUUAACUUGGGAAUUGCAUUGGUGACUGCACGGCUAGAGUGUGUCAGAGGGGGGUAGAAUUCCACGUGUAGCAGUGAAAUGCGUAGAGAUGUGGAGGAAUACCGAUGGCGAAGGCAGCCCCCUGGGAUAACACUGACGCUCAUGCACGAAAGCGUGGGGAGCAAACAGGAUUAGAUACCCUGGUAGUCCACGCCCUAAACGAUGUCAACUAGUUGUUGGGGAUUCAUUUCCUUAGUAACGUAGCUAACGCGUGAAGUGACCGCCUGGGGGAGUACGGUCGCAGAUUAAAACUCAAAGGAAUUGACGGGGAC
rnacentral:rRNA from 1 species